rnacentral:rRNA from 1 species
GUGGGGAAUAUUGGACAAUGGGCGAAAGCCUGAUCCAGCUAUGCCGCGUGUGUGAAGAAGGUCUUCGGAUUGUAAAGCACUUUAAGUUGGGAGGAAGGGCAUUAACCUAAUACGUUAGUGUUUUGACGUUACCAACAGAAUAAGCACCGGCUAACUUCGUGCCAGCAGCCGCGGUAAUACGAAGGGUGCAAGCGUUAAUCGGAAUUACUGGGCGUAAAGCGCGCGUAGGUGGUUCAGCAAGUUGAAGGUGAAAUCCCCGGGCUCAACCUGGGAACUGCCUCCAAAACUACUGAGCUAGAGUACGGUAGAGGGUAGUGGAAUUUCCUGUGUAGCGGUGAAAUGCGUAGAUAUAGGAAGGAACACCAGUGGCGAAGGCGACUACCUGGACUGAUACUGACACUGAGGUGCGAAAGCGUGGGGAGCAAACAGGAUUAGAUACCCGUGUAGUCC